rnacentral:rRNA from 1 species
CAGCCGCCGCGGUAAAACGUAGGGGGCGAGCGUUGUCCGAAGUUACUGGGCGUAAAGCGCGCGUAGGCGGCUUCUUAAGUCUGAGGUGAAAGGUUCAACGCUUAACGUGAACAGUGCCUUGGAUACUGGGGAGCUUGAGUAUGGGAGAGGGCAGUGGAAUGGCUGGUGUAGCGGUGAAAUGCGUAGAUAUCAGUCGGAACACCCAUGACGAAGGCAGCUGCCUGGCCUAAUACUGACGCUGAGGUGCGAAAGCGUGGGGAGCGAACGGGAUUAGAGACCCCCGUAGUCCCUGUCUUUUAUA